rnacentral:rRNA from 1 species
CCUACGGGCGGCAGCAGUGGGGAAUAUUGGACAAUGGGCGAAAGCCUGAUCCAGCCAUGCCGCGUGUGUGAAGAAGGCCUUCGGGUUGUAAAGCACUUUCAGUGGGGAAGAAAGCCUUGGGGCUAAUACCCUCGAGGAAGGACAUCACCCACAGAAGAAGCACCGGCUAACUCCGUGCCAGCAGCCGCGGUAAUACGGAGGGUGCGAGCGUUAAUCGGAAUUACUGGGCGUAAAGCGCGCGUAGGCGGUCUGAUAAGCCGGUUGUGAAAGCCCCGGGCUCAACCUGGGAACGGCAUCCGGAACUGUCAGGCUAGAGUGCAGGAGAGGAAGGUAGAAUUCCCGGUGUAGCGGUGAAAUGCGUAGAGAUCGGGAGGAAUACCAGUGGCGAAGGCGGCCUUCUGGACUGACACUGACGCUGAGGUGCGAAAGCGUGGGUAGCAAACAGGAUUAGAUACCCGAGUCGUC